AUCUGACUAGCAGUGGGGAAGGGUCCCUUUUGGAGAUCACUCCUCUUGGAGUCUUUUCAGGGAACCUAGGAUACAGCCUUUGGAUCUCAGCGCACCUGUGAAGGUGUUUACUCAGCUAUGAACACAAUUAUGACAAGCAAUAACAGUUGUCUUUCAAAUAAACAUCUGGAAAACCAGAGGUAACGUCAACUCAGACAGUGGCAGAAUUUGGAAAGGCUGUUAAUGGCUGGAUUGGAACUGUGCCCUGGGGACUGCUUCAGGAGGGUGUGAGGUCUUGGUGCCAAAAAUUCAGAAGGGAACCUGCAUCUUCUCCACUUAUCCCCAGUGUCUGGGUCCUCUGGCUUCAGUAAGCAUGGGAGAGCCCUCGUAUCCCCCUGUAGAAUCUUGGCAGGAGUUGCUUGGCUGCCCAGCUCUUUGCAUGCAGCAGAAGAGACUUCUGGGGCUAACUUCUAUUUUGGUGUGGAUACCGACAUCCGUCCAGGGGUCCCCACGUGAUGACAGAAGAACUGUUGUUGGCACCAUUGGUUCCCAGCUCUGGAGCUCUUCCAGCUCAGUGUAGCUCCAGGCAUGUAUUGCCAGGAAAUCCAGACAGCUGUACCGCAUAUCACUCCUUUCUUUAAUAUGCUGUAAAAGUUCCUCCUCCGCGCUCGCUAUUCUGUUGUCGUAAUUAAGGAUCUGCAUCAGGAAAUGCCACGCUUCAAACCUGAGUUUACUGUGUGCUUGACAGACUCCCACAGCUUCCUUCUCCAGCACUCAUUUCCAUCGAAAAUGCCUCGUGAAGCCAGCAGCUCGCUCUUGCAGAGACUAUCUUGAUAUGUAACGAGGAUGCUGAUUUUUAAAUAUGUUACUGAGGUCAUACUCCAUGCUGAAAGCAUUUUUUUUUCUAUUGUGUGGUAGUGGUUGCAUAGCAUGUUGGCGUGAUGCACAGUGAAUCUUGUGAGCUGGGUGGAAAGCCCCUUUCUCUUUGGCUUUUGUGCUCCAGGUGCGUGCCUGGGACACUUCACCAGUAUUAGGAACAUGAAAAAUGUCUAGUAAUACUCAAAUACCGCGUAAAAAAUAUGCCUUUUACGUCUGAAACAAGGUCCAACAUGCUAGAUGCAUAUUUAAUGUGUUGGAGAACGAUCAUUUUGUUCAGAGUAAAAACACAUGCACAUUUGUGUGCCCAGAGCCUCCUUACCUGCACAGCUGUAGUGUAUCUGCAUGCUUAGAAUCAGAGAGUCAUAGAACAUCCUGAGUCGGAAGGGACCCAUGAGGAUCAUUGAGUCCAACUCCUAUCAGACUUAACAAUUUCCACUGUUGUUUUGUGUUGGUGUUUUUUUUGUUUGUUUGUUUGUUUUUGUUAUUUCUUGCAUCGCAGCCAACUCAUGGCCACACUCAUGUAGGGAAGGAGGGCAGCCCCAGCUAUCCUUCAUGGGGGCAAAGGGCAUGUGGGAUGCUCCCAGUGCAUCCAUGCAGCGCUGCUCUGCCUAUGGAAGUGGAGGAAAAGGUGAUUAACAUCAUGCUAAAAAAAUAAAUUCUCUGUUCAUUAUUAAUGUGAAGGUCACGAUGGAGAGUAGCACUGUCUUGAUUUUUUUAGGUACAUCUGAGUCUCUGGUAACUGUGAUAGCUGGAGCUCAGAUUGUCUUUUUUUUUUUUUUCUGUUUCUGAGAGCAGCUGAUUUUUCUGUCAUUUUUCUGUCCACUCAUUGCCAUUCUCUCAUCUUCCCUGCUACCCUGUGUCCCCUAUCACACUCCCUGCUCUGCUGCAUCUUUGUCUGGUCUUCUUUAAGGUCUUGUGCUUUUUUAAUAUAUAUUUCAUUUUAUUUCUUUACCCGAUUUUCUUGACUUUCCCACUCCUUCUUUUCUGCUGCAGGCUUCCAAGUCUUUCUUUUCUGCGCUGGUCCCCCCAUCUUCACUGCUGACAUUUGGAUCACUUUUUGCUGUUUUCAACACAUCCAUCUUCUUCAGCAUCUUUUUCCUGUUCUCAUCUCUCCAAAUUCUCCCCACUUUCCCAGUUCCUAUUUCCUACCAGCUCCCUUUACUCCAGUUUUUCCUCCAGCUAAGAGCCUGGUGGAUGGGGUGGGACCACCAGAGCCAGCAGGGGAGAUGUUCAGCUCAUGGCUCCUGCUAGAAAGCCAAGACCACCUGUAACCCCACCAUGGCUCUGGCCACCGAUUUGUGUUCCACCCGGUUCUCAUUUGUCAUUGUUAGUCCUUCCUUCCUCAUUAGAUAAUUAUCAUCCAUGCCACCUCCCUUUUUAAUCAUUCCUUGAAUGCUUAAAUUAUCACUAUAUCAUUCAGAUAUAUCUUUGAUCUCCUCAAUACGGUUUUAUUUUCCCAAGUAGCAUGGUUAUUGCUGUCCCCUUCAUGCUUUUGUGUUCAUCCCAUUUUCACUGAACAGUUCCCUGUUCCUCUUUGUUCACACUCCAGGAAAAAAAUUAAGAUGCCCUUUUUUUAAUUUAAAAGUAGAAUGUAUUGCCACAUUGCACGUGACAAGCUGUAUUUAGAAAGCAUAAAUCGAGUACCUGUGUUCAGUAUUAAUUUGUGUUGAGUUAAAUGCGUGGAAAAAAAUAUAUAUUGGGAAGAAGAGAGAGUGAAAAAUAAAAGCUGGAAAAAAAUCAA